GGGGAGCGGGGCUGCAGACACUCUGGCACUUGCUCUCCAGCUGGGCCCCUAGAGGCUGCAAGAGGAUCCACAGGGGGGCCCCCAAGCACCAGGUGACAGAUUACGAGGAGCACUUUGGUGGAAAACGGGGGGCCACAGCCUGGGGAAGCAGGCAGGGAGGGAAACAGCCACAGUAGACUUAGUGUUUAUGUCUGAGGGCCCGCCUAGCUGAACAUCUGUUUGAAAUAUUAAUAACUGUCAGAUGGGAAGGGCCUGGGGCUCAGUACAGUUUCACACCAUCUGUCGGUAGAGUAAACACACUUCAGAACAGUGGGCCUGGGAUUAGCAGGCGAUGGCUUGGAUAAGAACGGAGUAAGAGCGGAGCAAGAUAUGGCAGCGAGGACCCCGAGCCCUUCCGUGUGGGCAGAGAAGAGCAGCAGUGAGCUCAAAUCUAUCACAGGUACUGAGCACCUACUAGGCGUAUGAGCUGAGCUUACGUAGCAACACGUCUGCUGCCUUGAUCUGCCAGACAACCAGUCCUCUUUGCUCUGCUAACAGAAGCCCCUUCCACAUAGCCCCUUCCCCACUUCUAGCCCACAGAGUUUGCACGGAGUGGACCUAACCCCUGGCUCCACCGGCAAGAGUGUGACCCAUCUCUGGGAGAUGAGGAUCAAGAUGAUGGGCUCCAGCAUGGCUCAGCAAGGAGACUCAAUUGUGGGACUUGUGCUGGAACUAAUGAAAAAGAUGACUGUUUUCCCACUAGGGUUGAUACAUUGGUCCAAACCCAGAGUUCCUGUCUGAGUCAGUGCCUAUCCCAGGUGUGUGCUGCUGGGAGUCUCUCCAUCAGGGACUGGAAGCCAGGACGGCUGCGGAUUCUGCUGGGGCCUGGGCCGGUG
rnacentral:lncRNA from 1 species